rnacentral:rRNA from 1 species
GACGAACGCUGGCGGCGUGCUUAACACAUGCAAGUCGAACGGAAAGGCCCUGCUUUUGUGGGGUGCUCGAGUGGCGAACGGGUGAGUAACACGUGAGUAACCUGCCCUUGACUUUGGGAUAACUUCAGGAAACUGGGGCUAAUACCGGAUAGGAGCUCCUGCUGCAUGGUGGGGGUUGGAAAGUUUCGGCGGUUGGGGAUGGACUCGCGGCUUAUCAGCUUGUUGGUGGGGUAGUGGCAUACCAAGGCUUUGACGGGUAGCCGGCCUGAGAGGGUGACCGGGCACAAUGGGACUGAGGGACGGACCAGAAUCCUACGGGAGGCAGCAGUGGGGAAUAUUGCACAGUGGGCGGGAGCCUGAUGCAGCGACGCCGCGUUCGGGAUGACGGCCUUCGGGGUGUAAACCGCUUUCGCCUGUGACGAAGCGUGAGUGACGGUAAUGGAUAAAGAAGCACCGGCUAACUACGUG